rnacentral:lncRNA from 1 species
CCCUGGAGAGUCCCUACCUCCAUUCCACCAGAAGAACCUCGAAACUCGCAGUCGAGAGGACCUCCUGGAUCAAAGAUUCUAAGAGAUGAACCAGCAGAUCGAAGAGCUCCAUCGUGCUCCCACUGCUUACGGUGAGGAUAUCUGCACUGACCCUCCUUUCUCUCAAAUGAUCAUGCAGAAACCAAUCCCGCUGAACUUCAAGCUCC